GCACAGACACGGUGCUGCCUGCCCCUUUGUGCCAUGGGCUCCAGGCUGCUCUGUUGGGUGCUGCUUUGUCUCCUGGGAGCAGGCCCAGUAGAGGCUGGAGUCACUCAAACUCCAAGAUAUCUGAUCAAAACGAGAGGACAGCAAGUGACACUGAGCUGCUCCCCUAUCUCUGGGCAUAGGAGUGUAUCCUGGUACCAACAGACCCUAGGACAGGGCCUUCAGUUCCUCUUUGAAUACUUCGGUGAGACACAGAGAAACAAAGGAAACUUCCCUGGUCGAUUCUCAGGGCGCCAGUUCUCUAACUCUCGCUCUGAGAUGAAUGUGAGCACCUUGGAGCUGGGGGACUCGGCCCUUUAUCUUUGCGCCAGCAGCUUGGCACAGCCCUACAAAGCCAACCACAUUCUGUGCACAAACCUCCCUGGCCCAAUGUGGAGCAACCUCAGCCCUGACAUAUCUGUGAGAACCUGGGGACUGCAGGGAGAAAGAAAGGCAAUUUAG